GACGAACGCUGGCGGCGUGCUUAACACAUGCAAGUCGAACGGUGAAGCGCCUUCCUUUUUGGUGGGUGUGGAUGAGUGGCGAACGGGUGAGUAACACGUGAGUAACCUGCCCCCUUCUUCUGGAUAACCGCAUGAAAGUGUGGCUAAUACGGGAUAUUCUGGGUCUGUCGCAUGAUGGGUCUGGGAAAGAUAUUGUUUCGGUGGGGGAUGGGCUCGCGGCCUAUCAGCUUGUUGGUGGGGUGAUGGCCUACCAAGGCGGUGACGGGUAGCCGGCCUGAGAGGGUGGGCGGUAACGCUGGGAAUGAGACACGGACCAGACUACUACGGGAGGCAGCGGGGGGGAAUAUUGCACAAGGGGAGCAAGCCUGAUGCAGCGACGCCGCGUGAGGGAUGGAGGCCUGCGGGUUGUGAACCUCUGUCGCCAGUGAAGCAGGCCUGCCUCGUUUGUGGGUGGGUUGACGGUAGCUGGAUAAGAAGCGCCGGCUAACUACGUG
rnacentral:rRNA from 1 species